AAUAUUUAAAAUGUAAUGAGGCAUUGUCUUUGCAGUCGCAAUCUAGUGGUCCAGAAUGGUUGGUGCAAGUCAUAACAACUUAAUUAAUAUAUUUGAAUGUAAGGUACCAAAGCAAUGGACAUUCAGUCUCUAUCAAAAGACCCUAUAUUUCGCCUCAUUGAAGGCAUCGAUCCAUGCACAUGAAUUUCCAAUAACAACCUUUCUUUCUUAAUUCAUUCGAGGCAUUAUUUUGUUGUCAUUUGCAAGGUAGUUUCGAAAAUUUUGAUUCACGAUUACAUAUAUAUUGUCGCCGUAAGAGGAAGGUAAUUACACACACACACUUGGCUACUUAUUUUUAAAAGCAUUUUUUGAAAUUGAGAAAAAUUAAUAAACUAAUUUAUAGUUGCAUAUUCGUGGGAAAAUGGUCAUUGGUCAAACAUACAUACAGUAGCACUAGCUGGUUUCAUUAUUCCACUAUGCUUCUUCAUAGGCUCUCCAAAUUUUGCAAAAUUGAAAGAGACAUAGUAUAUAUAUCUUAGCAAGGAGAAAUUCAGGAUAUUGAGGAUGAAGAUUGAAGAGUAAUCAGUGAUGAAGAAAGCAAGCAAGGUAUUGGCGCGCCUCAAUUUGAAUACAUGGCUAUAAAAAUGCAUCAUAUCAGCCAUGUAGUUUGAUUGAGCCGCGUCAAUAUCUUGUUUCCAUCUCCAAAUUUACCAAUCUCAUCAAAUCAAAUUAACACCACAAUCAAGGAUUCGUACUGAUGUCACCCUCUCCGGGUUGAAGGGUCAGAUAGAUCAAAUCAAUCGUCAACUCAAUUGCAGAGAAACACGGAGGGUGGAUGGUGUUGAGUAUCGACGUCUAUCGACCUACUCAUCCAGGAGUGUGCGGUUCAGCCGAAUGAAGCUCAUGAACGACGACGACGUGAGAACCAUUUUCUCGAUCUUUAGUUAGUACAGUACUAGAGGGUCGAUCGAGUUGGACGCUUCGUUGGUCACAUCUGUUGAACAAAUUCAGAAAAGUUUGAUUCGGUCCAGGAACUACGAAGAGAUCAGUGCACUCCUCGACGCACCACACGAAGACAUUAAUUUAGUUGAUUAGUGAUGAUGUGUUAUGUUUUAUUUAAUUACGUGUUUUAUGUUGUUUUUAUUACGUGUUAGUUAUAUGUUGUUGGUUUAAGUUGUUUUAUUAUGUUUUAAAUAAUAUAUAUAUUAUUUAAAUUUUCAUUAUGAUUUACUUUACAUCAAAGAUGUUCAUCUAACGCUAAAAUUUGAAGAUCAUUCAUUAAGCUCAAUUUUAUAGCGUGUGAGUACAAUUCAGAUUAUAUAAUUCGAAUUUUACUAGGGUGUAAGUACAAUUCGGAUUGUAUAAUACGAUUCUUUCGUAUGGUCCACAUUGUCCAUAUACCUCUAUAAAUAAGUGUUUUUUGUUUCAUUUUCAUUACCAUUGAAACACACACACACACACACACACACACACACUAAAGAAACCAUGUAAAUUUUUGCCAUUGUGUUGAGGAUCUUUCUCACGCGGUCGCAAAUAGAUAGCUCUCUAUUUGACUGCAUGAUGAAGAUCUUCAGCAUGAUGUCAAAAAAAAUAUAGAUAGAUACAAAGAGGUUUUAACUCUUGAUUUGAAUAUCAAGAGGUUGCUCUCUAUUUAAAUACCAAGAGGUUGCUAUGAGCUAGAUCUUGGUGCCUUGGCGAUAUAAAUAUCUUAGUUGGCAAGACAACAAUAUCUAACUCAAAACAAUCCUCUUGAAACACCUUGUCUUUCAUCGUUAUGUUACGGAUCUAAUUUUGAAGAGGUUUUUAUGAACUUGAUCAAGUUGGCCUGCCGAUCGAAAUAUGUCAGUUGGCAGGCCUGCAAGAUCAAGUUCAAAAACACCUCUUCAAACACCAUCCUAGAAUAUUAUGUUGUUUAAAGUUGUUUACUUGUUUUAUUUAUGCAUUUUUUUUUCUUGUAUGUUAUCAUCCAUGAAAAGCCUCCAAAAACACGGUCUGGUGAUGUUUGGAUUAUGCAAUCCGAAUUUUUUUUGUCCGUUCAGAUUAUAUAAUCCGAAUAAACUCAGUUUUUUUUACGGAGACGUUUCACCAAAGGUUUUGACGGUUAGUGGAGUGUUUAAUGCAUUUUUGGACAGUGGAACACAUUUUAUUUGACUGUAUUUAUCAUAUAGGACUUGUUUUAGGCUAUAAAUAAGCUUGCAUUUUUAACAAAUUCUUUCAUUCUUCACUUCACCUAUUUUCUUACUUUUUCUUCAACAUGUUUUUAGUUUUUUUAGGAGUGUUUAUGGUGUCAUGGUCAUUGUUGACCAUUCAUAUAAUCGCUGCAAUUGAUUUGCAGCUUAUGCAGAGAUUAUACGACGGUCAACGUAGACCUUUGACACCAAAAAAACACAAAAAAUCACAGUUCAAAAUAGUUCGGAUUUUAUAAUUCGAAAUAUACUAACAAUAUAGUUCGGAUUAUAUAAUCCGAACCAUAAGUAUUUUGGUAUUUUUUUGCAAGGCGCGUCAGAAUAACAUAGGGUGGAAAAAAUAAUAGUCGAAAUUGUAUGUGAUUAUAUAAGUAGGGGUGUACGAAACCCGACCCAAUAGUACAACAGUCCCGACUUAAGCUCAAUACGCCAGGUCUGACACGGUCAAAAAUAUAAUCAAGAGCAAACUUAGUUUAUAUAUUAUUUCUCUAUUUUAUAGUAACACUCUCAUACUCCACUCUACUUUUUCAUUUACUCAUACGCACACUUUCUAUUUUGACGAUUGUACACUUUAAUAUAUACAUUGUUUAUUUUGGUAAUAUAGAAUGUAAAUUGUUAAUAAAUUUCUAAGACUAUAUGUUGUUGGUUCCUACUACUGUUAAUUUUUGGUUUUUGGUUUUUUUUGAAUGGCAAUUUAUUUUUAUUUUUUUUAUAUAAAUAAGGGGAUUAAAUUCCAAGUAUUACACCAGAAAGAGAAAAUAAAAACACCAAAACUCCCCAAAGAAAAACCACCAGCACCCUCAAAAUGCCGAAUCCCCUAAAAACAGCUCCUCAAAGAACCAACACCGCCAACAAUGAUGAAUUAGGCACCCGAUAGUGAUUUUGCAUCAAAUGUUCAGCUUCGACCACCAUUCAAGUUUCGGUCUAUCGGAGGAGACAUCACAACAUCCUGAAAGGACUUGAGUCACAAACUUGUUCCGGACCUCGAAUCAAAAGCGAUCGGCCCACAAGACUCCUAACACAAGUCAAAAAGGCACCUAUCAACUCACGAACCACCAGAGCAGACACCUGAACCUGUCCAAAAACUCAACCAACCAAAAAUCCGAUGUCAAAAUCCAAAGACAGAAAAAAGGCGGAACAGUAGCGCCAAACGAACCAGCUCGAACACAAACAAAUCAAAAUAAUCCACCAAAACCGUCUGCAUCACCACCACCUGACUAUUCACCAUCUUGGAUUACUCUACUGCAACAUUAAGAUCAUCUUUGAUUUAUCAAAUUAUAUAAGUACUGGAGCAUGAUGACUAUUUGUGAUUCUUGGGGAUGGAAUUAUAGAUACUGGAACACCAUACAACUACUUAAAUUAAUAAUGAUGUUUGUCCUGAGAUUAAAAAAAUGUUGAGUAAUUGUUAUUUUUUUAAAUGUUUAUGUAUUGGUGAUUUGUCUUGGGCCGAAAUUGUUGUCUUGGUAGCGGUCCAUCUUUAUUGGACUCGUAGUUUAUAGGGUUUAUGGUCAUAUUAAGGUCUAAAAAUUAUGAUUAUUGCUUUUUCUACUCUAAUCUUCUCAUACGUUUUCUUUUUUAUUAAUAAAAAUGCUCUAGCGGAUUUUUGAAUUUCCACCCGGUUUUUGGGUGGAAAAUAAGUUUUUCACCUAUUUAGAUUAUACAUUUCAAAACCCCAAUAUAUCGAAGAUCUUUUUCUUUUUCUUUUAGAUUAUAAAAUUCAAACACUCCAAGAAAAAACCUCUUGUGCCAAGAGUUCUGGUAAAAUUGAUUCCAAUUAUAUAAUCUGAACUGCAUCAUCACAAAGACUGAGCCUAUUUGUAACAAGGAUAGCCAAUUUAAGAACUAUCCCUCCUUGUGUUUUAGGUCAUUGUUAGUUGUUCCCGUAGAGUCCUAGUCAAAAAUCCAAUUUUCAGUCUAUUUGAUCGGAUUGCUCUGAGAUUUGCUCAAAUAUCAGAAAAAAUUCAUAGAUAAAGACUUCCUUAGAAGGGACUUCAUGGGGGACCCACCCAUCAAAAUCCAAAAUUUCAUCGUUUGGAUCCCUUUUUAUUUUUUUAUUUUAACUUUUAAUAUUCUCAUAAAAAUCCAAAAAAAAUUGCAUUGGCUUUAUUUGAUUUUUAAAAAUAGCUGUUAACCAAUAUUUUUAAAGGCUAUCAUUUAAUGCAGUCAAAAUAGGUUGACCUUAUCAUCGAAGAAAUUGUUUUCUCAUUCCUAUCGAAGUUGGACUUGCUGAAAAUGCUCGAAAGCAUGUGUUUUAGUUCGACAGGCGAAAAAGUUACCGAAGGACAAUUUGGUUGUGGUUCGGAUAAGGUCAAGCAACGGAUAUUUUCAAGACACGUUCGAAAUUCAAAUCAAAUGGAUAAGUAUCGUUAGUUUACUGCAGUUAUAGUUUUAAAUUCAAAUCUAGGCAGUUAUUUCUAUUUGUAUAAAUAGUAGUUUUUCCCUAGGGAAAAAGGGUCGCAAUUCAAUCAUACAAAAAACUUACAAUCAAAUUAUCCGCAUGGAAGAGAGAAACGAGUCACAAGUUGCAAUGUAUGAACAUGUGUACCAAUUUACAUUCAAUCAGUACAAUUUAAGUUCA